ACCCUUUUCUCCGGGCCUGAGAUUAUGAAACAGGCCAGGAACGGAUGCUGCUGUUGCUAUGGCGAUUUAUAUUUGCACCGUUUUAAUAACCUCGCCCGACGCAGGCGAUCAGACGCGCCGGGGCACCUCCCCGUCACUGAGCUCCAAUCCAUACGUGACGGCGUGCGAUGCCGUGGGUGCCGAGGCGUGAAGAAAUGAAAAGCAAAUAGAAGAAAAACCCCAAGGCUGGCGAAUGAAGAAGACAGAACGGGGCGAGUCCUCACCGCCGCCGCCAUCUAAUACCCGACCGCUGGACUGUGGACGCUUGCUCAACCACUGAGUCGCGCUGACAGGGCUGGAUUCCAUGUUCCUACAAGAACGAACUGGCUCACAAUCGCUUCAGAUGCCCGUGUCUGCAUGUGGCCUGAUCCCUCCGUGAAAGGGCCCUGGCAGGGGCACACCGUGUCCCAUUUCACAAAACGCCGGAGGGAACCUCGCCCCGAGCCGGGCGAUGCAGAAUCAUCUCCCACGGCUGCCCUACUUUCCCUUCCUCACAGCAGACAAAGCCGCUCCUCUCCAUCGCCCGGGGAUGGAAGCCGCCACGGAGGUGCGUGCCCGUGACCUGGAAUCGAACCUGAGACUCUUUGGUGCGUGGACCGACGCUCUAGCCACUGAGCACACCGGCCAGGGCCCUGCAAGGAGAAAGAAAUGCCGGGGGAAAUGCCGCCCUUGAACGCCUGGCAUCGCUUCGAAGGCGGUUCCUGGCACCUUCGAGGACCGAGCCCGCCCGCGUGGCGCGAGGCCACCUUAUCGAGCUGGUGCCACGCUGCCAAGUGGAUGAUUAAUUGCCUCCCAGGAGGUGAUGGGCACGGAUGCAGGAUGCAGUUUUCAACCCCGGAGAGAACCCUUCAGCGUCACCAAACUUCGAAAGACGGCGCCGUGCACCCGGCGGGAAUGUAAAGCAGCCUCGAAUGUCAGCGGCAAUUUAAAAGUGAAAUUAAAAAAUGAUUAAAAAGCUGGAAGCACGUGCGUGUACAUCGCACCGUUUAC